rnacentral:rRNA from 1 species
CUACAUGAAGCUGGAAUCGCUAGUAAUCGCGAAUCAGAAUGUCGCGGUGAAUACGUUCCCGGGUCUUGUACACACCGCCCGUCACACCAUGGGAGUCGGAUAUGCCCGAAGCCGGUGACCUAACCGCAAGGAAGGAGCCGUCGAAGGUGGAGCCGAUGACUGGGGUGAAGUCGUAACAAGGUACC